CAGUAGCCGCGGUAAUACGAAGGGUGCAAGCGUUAAUCGGAUUUACUGGGCGUAAAGCGAGCGCAGACGGUUACUUAAGCAGGAUGUGAAAUCCCCGGGCUCAACCUGGGAACUGCGUUCUGAACUGGGUGGCUAGAGUAUGUCAGAGGGGGGUAGAAUUCCACGUGUAGCAGUGAAAUGCGUAGAGAUGUGGAGGAAUACCGAUGGCGAAGGCAGCCCCCUGGGAUAAUACUGACGUUCAUGCUCGAAAGCGUGGGUAGCAAACAGGAUUAGAUACCCCCGUAGUCCCUGUCUCUUAUAA
rnacentral:rRNA from 1 species